UAGGAAAAAAGUGAGGGGGCACAGAAGCAGCAAAGGGCAUUUCUGGACGGGCAACCUAUGUCCUUUGCUUCCCAGUCAUCCUGUCCCUUCACCCUCAGCUCUGCCAGGCCUGCCUCCACCUGACCAGCACCCUCCACAAAACUGUGCAAAGCCAGGAACAGCACAGCAGCUGAACUACCAUACAAGCUGAAGUUUCAAGCUGAAAAAUUGCACACAUCCACCUCUCUGUUCACAAGUAGACUUUUCCUUCUUUUAUCAUGCAAGUAAUUCGUAGUUCAUUUUCCUCAAAUAUAUGUGGCAGCAUACAAGAAGAUGGGAAGGAGGGAGAAAAGCAAGAGUGUGAUUUAUAUGAAGUUGCCACCAGAGGGAGCUCCGAAGCAGUUCUGUAAUAUCAAUACAAUUUGUGCCAAAAUACUUUAAUAGCAGUACCUUAAUAGUGUUCGAUAUCUUUCCACAAACAGGUUUUAUUUUAUUUGUUUAU